AUUGAACGCUGGCGGCAGGCCUAACACAUGCAAGUCGAGCGGACGAAGGGAGCUUGCUCCUGGAUUCAGCGGCGGACGGGUGAGUAAUGCCUAGGAAUCUGCCUGGUAGUGGGGGAUAACGUCCGGAAACGGGCGCUAAUACCGCAUACGUCCUGAGGGAGAAAGUGGGGGAUCUUCGGACCUCACGCUAUCAGAUGAGCCUAGGUCGGAUUAGCUAGUUGGUGGGGUAAAGGCCUACCAAGGCGACGAUCCGUAACUGGUCUGAGAGGAUGAUCAGUCACACUGGAACUGAGACACGGUCCAGACUCCUACGGGAGGCAGCAGUGGGGAAUAUUGGACAGUGGGCGAAAGCCUGAUCCAGCCAUGCCGCGUGUGUGAAGAAGGUCUUCGGAUUGUAAAGCACUUUAAGUUGGGAGGAAGGGCAGUAAGUUAAUACCUUGCUGUUUUGACGUUACCAACAGAAUAAGCACCGGCUAACUUCGUG
rnacentral:rRNA from 1 species